GGGGCCUUGUUUCUAGCAUUCGAAAAAGAAACAGUUUCGACAAAAACUACGGGGAUCAUUUAAUUUGAGAUGUUUGAUGACAUGCAAUAAAGAUUACAGUGCAAAUAAUCCUUUUCCAUGACUAUUCAAGGACUUGUCACUAAAAUAUAGCUUUCCAUGACUUUUAAAGGCCUUUCCCCCCCUAAAUAAAAAUCCAUGACUUUUCCAGGAUUCCAUGCCCCGUACGAACCCUGGUAUUAGCAUAUCAUAAUCAUUAUGUAUAAAUAUAUAGAAAUAAUAAAAACACAGGUCAUACUUACAAGGUAUUCAAGAAUGACAUCUUAAUCCUAAGAAAUAAAAAAACAAAACAAAGUAACCUUACUAAAAACCAUCAAUAGUUGUCAAUAGUACUGACGUAGGAAAAGGUAUAAAAAAAA
rnacentral:lncRNA from 1 species